ACAACAAUAAAAAACGAAAAUAUCAAUGAGAGUGAGGGGUGAACGGUGGGUUAAUUUUGAUAAAACUUAAGGGUGAAAAAGAAACAAUGACUCCACAUCCAAUGGAGAAAGAUGGAUUGCGGGUUGAUUCUGUCAAAACUUAAGGAUGUAGAUUAAAAAGAUACCAGUACAAGAACCCCACUAAUCACCCAAUCUAUACCCGUUUCUCCAUCCAUAAAAAAAAAAGAUGAACUGAUCACAAUAUCUCUUGCUUCUCCGUAUUAUCGUAUACUGUUAAUCAAUAGUAACCGAAUAUAUAAGAUAACUCACUGCAUGUUCUAUGACAUAAUCUAUUUUAGAGGGACAUGAGCAUUAUUUAGACCAAAUAUUAAGUGUGAAGAAAUUGUAUGAC
rnacentral:lncRNA from 1 species